ACGCUGAAGACUUUAGCUUGCUAAAGUUGGAAGAGUUGCGAACGGGUGAGUAACGCGUAGGUAACCUGCCUACUAGCGGGGGAUAACUAUUGGAAACGAUAGCUAAUACCGCAUAACAGCAUUUAACACAUGUUAGAUGCUUGAAAGGAGCAAUUGCUUCACUAGUAGAUGGACCUGCGUUGUAUUAGCUAGUUGGUGAGGUAACGGCUCACCAAGGCGACGAUACAUAGCCGACCUGAGAGGGUGAUCGGCCACACUGGGACUGAGACACGGCCCAGACUCCUACGGGAGGCAGCAGUAGGGAAUCUUCGGCAAUGGGGGCAACCCUGACCGAGCAACGGCGCGUGAGUGAAGAAGGUGUUUCGGAUCGUAAAGCUCUGUUGUAAGAGAAGAACGUGUGUGAGAGUG
rnacentral:rRNA from 1 species